rnacentral:rRNA from 1 species
UACGGAGGGGGCUAGCGUUGUUCGGAAUUACUGGGCGUAAAGCGUACGUAGGCGGCUUUGUAAGUUAGAGGUGAAAGCCCGGGGCUCAACCCCGGAAUUGCCUUUAAGACUGCAUCGCUAGAAUCAUGGAGAGGUGAGUGGAAUUCCGAGUGUAGAGGUGAAAUUCGUAGAUAUUCGGAAGAACACCAGUGGCGAAGGCGACUCACUGGACAUGUAUUGACGCUGAGGUACGAAAGCGUGGGGAGCAGACAGG